GUUACUUGAAGAGAGGUCGUCUUUCAUUUGUUCACUUUAUUAGUGGUGAAUAUAUACGGGUAAGCUCUCUCUGAGGAGC
rnacentral:pre_miRNA from 1 species